AACGAACGCUGGCGGCAUGCCUAACACAUGCAAGUCGAACGAGACCUUCGGGCCUAGUGGCGCACGGGUGCGUAACGCGUUGGAACCUGCCCUUAGGUUCGGAAUAACUCCCCGAAAGGGGUGCUAAUACCGGCUAUUGUCUUCGGACCAAAGAUUUAUCGCCUUUGGAUGGGCCUGCGUUGGAUUAGCUAGUUGGUAGGGUAAAAGCCUACCAAGGCGACGAUCCAUAGCUGGUCUGAGAGGAUGAUCAGCCACACUGGGACUGAGACACGGCCCAGACUCCUACGGGAGGCAGCAGUGGGGAAUAUUGGACAAUGGGCGAAAGCCUGAUCCAGCAAUGCCGCGUGAGUGAUGAAGGCCUUAGGGUUGUAAAGCUCUUUUACCCGGGAUGAUAAUGACAGUACCGGGAGAAUAAGCUCCGGCUAACUCCGUG
rnacentral:rRNA from 1 species